rnacentral:rRNA from 1 species
CGAACGGGUGAGUAAUGCGUGAGGAACCUGCCUCAAAGAGGGGGACAACAGUUGGAAACGACUGCUAAUACCGCAUAAGCCCACGACCCGGCAUCGGGUAGAGGGAAAAGGAGCAAUCCGCUUUGAGAUGGCCUCGCGUCCGAUUAGCUAGUUGGUGAGGUAACGGCCUACCAAGGCGACGAUCGGUAGCCGGACUGAGAGGUUGAACGGCCACAUUGGGACUGAGACACGGCCCAG